CAAGAACACAAGACACAUCUCUAAUAUAAUAUCCUGCAGAAACCUCAGUUUGCUGUUUGGAGCAGAUUUCCUCAGAUUUAAACCGUACUGCAUCAGAGGAAGACACAGGAAGAAGAGAAGAUCCUUAGUUGAAGCUCUUGAAGAAGUAAUAAAACCAGAUUGAGUCGAGGGUGAUUUGUUCCUUAACUU
rnacentral:lncRNA from 1 species